UAUCCUCUUGGCAUCUUCCAGAUCCCCUUCUCUAGAUGCGGCCGUUAGCAUCGCAGUGUAGGAGUAAACGUUCCUUCUUUCCGGGUUGGACGAGAACAUUCGCUGGGCCUCGUGGUAAUGGCCAUUCUCCGCGUAUCCGACGAUCAUGGCCGUCCAGCUCACCACAUCCCAGCCGCUCAUUCGCGCAAACACGGCCUUGGCCUCCUCGAGGCGGGAAUUUUGAAUGUAGCUCUGGAGCAUGGACGUCCAGGAUACAACGCAGCGAUCCAACGGCGUGGAAUCGAAGAGGGCUUUGGCGUCCGGGAGGGAGGAAGGGCUCUUGGCCAUGGCUUGGGUCAUGGCGGUCCAGGAGACGAUGUCGAAUUGGGGCUGCCGGUAGAAGAUCGAUUGCGCCUCUUCGAUCCGGCCGCCUUGCGCGUAGGCGGAUGCAAGGGCAGUGUAGGACAGGAGAUCGCGGUUCUUCAUCGAGUCGAAGACGAUCUUGCCUUGAUCGAUCUGGCCGUGGCGCAGGUAGCCGUGGAGCAUCAGCGUCCAGGCGAUGUCGUCCUUCUCCGGCAUUGCGUCGAAGAUCGCCUUUGCGGCUUCCAGAUGCCCUCCCAGCGCGUAUUCUUUGAAGAUCGUCGUCCAGGAGAUGAUUCCCCAGAAGGGCAUUCGAUCGAGAAAGCGUCUGGAUUCGUGGAGGAGGCCGCCCAGGGCGUAGGCUCGGAUCAUGAUAUUCCAGGUGAUAUCGUCCUUCUGGGGCAUGGCAUCGAAGAGAGAUUUCGCCUCCUCCGGAUUCCCAGUGUAGGCAAAUGCCGUCAAGAGCGCGUUCCACAGCACGAUGUCCGUCCCCGGCACAAGAAAGAAGAGAUUCUUGGCGUCCUGGAUGGCGCCGCCGUGGAUGCAUCCAGUGAUCAUGUUGUUCCAGGUGAAGACGUUGCGAGAUCUCAUCCGGUGGAAGGUCUUCCAGGCAUUCUCCACGCUGCCGCAUUUGCCGUAGCUGAGGAGCAGGAGAUUGGUGAGAUAGGUGUCGUCGCGGAAGCCAUUCUCGAUGAUCUUGGCGUGAGCGGCGCGGCAUUCUGCCAGGCUCUUGAUAUUUCGGGUGAUCGUCGCGAGAAAUCUUCGAUCCAAGCUCAUGCGCUACCUCCUAGGGUUUGGACGAUGCAGCGAUGGAUUCCCGGCGAGACGCGAGAGCUCCACGCGCGGUGGAAGCGCAAGGCGCUACAGGUAUGGCGCAAGAGCCUCUACCUGGAUCGUGUGGUGCGGUGGGACGAGCUGAUCUACUCGGAGAUCCCCAGAGCCAUGGAAUUCGUCCAGAGCCAGGGCGGGAGGAUCGACAUCAAGAGAAUGCCGGCGGAGAUGGACGAGGUGAGCAAGAGGAGGAUGAGCAAGCUCCUUCGCAAGCACGCCGCGGUGUUUAAGCUCACGUACAAGCACCACAGGACCCAGGAGUGGAUCGAGCUCAGGGAUUUCAUGCAAGAGAUCAUGGAGGCCGAGAGGCAGGCGAUCCGUGACAGGGAUGAGAAGCUCUCGGUGUCCAUCGUGAAGAAAAUCUUGAUGAUGUGCAAGGAUCGCAGGGCGCCAGUGACUCCCCUCAAGAACUUGAGCAAGGAGUGUGCCUUCCCUGUGGAUUUUGAUGGGUUUCUCCGGAGGUAUCCGGAGGAUUUCCGGCUAGUCGGGGGAUCCAGAAUGGUGGAGCUCGUUUCGUGGGAUCAGUCGCUAGCCGUGACUGACAGAGAAAGGGCUGUGGAGGCAGGAAGAACGCAAAGAAUUCUCGGCCCUUGGGCGUUCGUGAGUACGUUUCCAAAGAAGUUCGAGGCGGACAGGAUUUUCUGGGAGGAAUUCGACAAGUUCCAAAGACUUCCAAUGCCGUCACCUUACGAAGACCCCGGCAACUCGGCAGAUCCAAGCAGUCUGUCUGGAGAGAAGAGACUCCUGGCAGUCUUUCACGAGCUACUCAGCCUCACGAUCGAGAAGAGAGCAUCUCUUGCAAAGUUCAAAGGAUUCAAGCAGGAGUUGCGGCUGCCAGAGUACUCAGACGCUCUGCUUGCGAGUCACCCACGGUUUUUCUACGUCUCAGAGAGCAACUCACGCCAGAUGGCGUUUCUCCGCGAAGCUUACCGGGAGAACGAUCGGGUGUCCGUGACACGAGUAAAGGAUCCGCUGGUUACUAUAAGGAAUCGAUACAUGGGCCUGCUAAGGGUGGAGUUCAGGGAGCCGCGGGUGAAAAGGCCUUGUGUAUUUAGCACAGAUGAAAGCGAUAACGAGGAUUGUGACACAGACGCCGCAGAUAUACCAUGAAUCGUGGAAGGAGAAAGCGCUCACAAGAGACAGACACUGAAGGAAUCUGACAAGACGCCGCAGAUAUACGAUGAAUCGUGGAAGCAGGCACGUCGAUCGUUUUUCCGGUCAUGGGAAGAAAGCCAAAGCCGCGAGCUCCAAACCUGUUCUUGGAGUGACAUCUCUUCGUUACCAAAUGACCAUUUCAAUGCCGCUCAGCGGGAGACUGAGGCUUUCCCUUGCAGACCGCCCCAUUGUGACAGAUUCAAGACCACUUGAAAGCAUACAACUUCACAGGAUAGGAU